UACGAAGGGUGCAAGCGUUAAUCGGAAUUACUGGGCGUAAAGGGUGCGUAGGCGGUUGUUUAAGUCUGUCGUGAAAUCCCCGGGCUCAACCUGGGAAUGGCGAUGGAUACUGGCGAGCUAGAGUGUGUCAGAGGAUGGUGGAAUUCCCGGUGUAGCGGUGAAAUGCGUAGAGAUCGGGAGGAACAUCGGUGGCGAAGGCGGCCAUCUGGGACAACACUGACGCUGAAGCACGAAAGCGUGGGGAGCAAACAGG
rnacentral:rRNA from 1 species